rnacentral:ribozyme from 1 species
UGUAGAAUAGCUCUGUAACGGAGUAGGAUCCGCAGUCUCGUGCAGGUUUACACAGGCUCUUCUUUUCACCUCCUAUUCCGACAAGUCCUCGUCGUGCAGAGUGGCGGCACACAUCAUCAAUUAAUCCAAGCUUGGGUCUUACCCCCUUGAGCGGAUUGUGAUAUGCGGCGAAAGAAGAGGGG